rnacentral:rRNA from 1 species
GACGAACGCUGGCGGCGUGCUUAACACAUGCAAGUCGAACGGAAAGGCCCUGCUUUUGUGGGGUGCUCGAGUGGCGAACGGGUGAGUAACACGUGAGUAACCUGCCCUUGACUUUGGGAUAACUUCAGGAAACUGGGGCUAAUACCGGAUAGGAGCUCCUGCUGCAUGGUGGGGGUUGGAAAGUUUCGGCGGUUGGGGAUGGACUCGCGGCUUAUCAGCUUGUUGGUGGGGUAGUGGCUUACCAAGGCUUUGACGGGUAGCCGGCCUGAGAGGGUGACCGGCCACAUUGGGACUGAGAUAGGGCGCAGACUCCUACGGGAGGCAGCAGUGGGGAAUAUUGCAGAAUGGGCGGAAGCCUGAUGCAGCAACGCCGCGUGCGGGAUGACGGCCUUCGGGUUGUAAACCGCUUUCGCCUGUGACGAAGCGUGAGUGACGGUAAUGGGUAAAGAAGCACCGGCUAACUACGUG